GGGAUCACUUCAGCAGCACAUAUACUAAAAUUGGAACAAUACAGAGAUUAGCAUGGCUCCUGUGCAAGGAUGAUAUGCAGAUUCGUGAAGCAUUCUAUAUUUUU